rnacentral:rRNA from 1 species
CAGCGCCACGAGUGGCGAUCCGCAUUAUUUGGCCUAAAGCGUCCGUAGCUGGUCAUGUAAAUCUUUUGUGAAAUUAUUAGGCUUAACUUAAUGAAUUGCAGAAGAAACUGCUAGACUAGGGACCGGGAGGAGUCAGAGGUAUUCUGGGGGGCGCGGUAAAAUGCGAUAAUCCUUAGAGGACCACCUGUGGCGAAGGCGUCUGACUAGAACGGGUUCGACGGUGAGGAACGAAAGCUAGGGGAGCAAACCGGAUUAGAUACCCGCGUAGUCC